UUAAUACUUAGUACAGUUUAAUAGUAUGUAGAUUUAAAUAAAAAUUCACUUAACUUAAGAAAUUUACAAAAUAUAAACACAUCAAAUAUGAUAAAAGUCGUAAAUUUUAAUCAUAAACAAAUAAUAGUGCCAGCAGUUGCGGUUACACUAAUUAUGAAAAUAUACAUUUAUUUAUCUUAUUUUAUAAAAGUAUAUAAAAAUAUAAAUAUAAAGUGAAAUUUUAUUNNUAUAUAUAUAUAUAUAUAUAUAUAUAUUAUAGAAAAAAAUAAAAACUUAAACCAGGAUUAGAUACCCUUUUAUAUUUUAUUAUAUUUAGGUAGUAUUAUUUUAUAAGAAACCUAUGUAGUUUGGCGGCAUUUAAUCAUAUUAGAGGAACCUGUCUUUUAAUCGAUUCUCCACGUUAAUUUUUACUUUUAUUAAUAUUUUAUAUACCGCCAUCUUUAGAAUUAAUAUUUAUAUUCUCCCCUUAAUAGAAUAUCUAAAAAGUUAGGUAAAGGUGUAAACUAUAUAAAAGAUAAGAUGGGUUACAAUAAUUUUUAUUUAAGGAUAUUUAAUAAAAAUUUCAUUUGAAAAGGGAUUUAACAGUAAUAUUAAAAAUAAUUUUCUAAAAUGAAUUUGAUAAAAAAUGUGCACAUAUCGCCCGUCACCCUUAUCUAAAGGUAAGGUAAGUCGUAACAUAGUUGGUGUUUUGGAAAAAGCACCAAGAACUU
rnacentral:ncRNA from 1 species